rnacentral:rRNA from 1 species
UUAAGUGAAUAAGGGCGCACGGUGGAUGCCUUGGCACUAGGAGCCGAUGAAGGACGGGACUAACACCGAUAUGCUUUGGGGAGCUGUAAGUAAGCUAUGAUCCAGAGAUUUCCGAAUGGGGGAACCCAAUAUCUUUUAUAGGAUAUUACUUUUCAGUGAAUACAUAGCUGAUUAGAGGUAGACGCAGAGAACUGAAACAUCUUAGUACCUGCAGGAAGAGAAAGAAAAUUCGAUUCCCUGAGUAGCGGCGAGCGAAACGGGAAGAGCCCAAACCAACAAGCUUGCUUGUUGGGGUUGUAGGACUCCAAUAUGGUAGUCUGUUAGUAUAGUUGAAGGAUUUGGAAAAUUCCGCUAAAGAGGGUGAAAGCCCCGUAGACGAAAUGCUGACAACACCUAGGAGGAUCCUGAGUACGGCGGAACACGAGAAAUUCCGUCGGAAUCCGCGGGGACCAUCCCGCAAGGCUAAAUACUCCCUAGUGACCGAUAGUGAACCAGUACCGUGAGGGAAAGGUGAAAAGCACCCCGGAAGGGGAGUGAAAUAGAUCCUGAAACCGUGUGCCUACAACAAGUCAAAGCUCGUUAAUGAGUGAUGGCGUGCCUUUUGUAGAAUGAACCGGCGAGUUACGAUUGCAUGCGAGGUUAAGUCGAAGAGACGGAGCCGUAGCGAAAGCGAGUCUGAAUAGGGCGUUGAGUAUUUGGUCGUAGACCCGAAACCAGGUGAUCUACCCUUGGUCAGGUUGAAGUUCAGGUAACACUGAAUGGAGGACCGAACCGACUUACGUUGAAAAGUGAGCGGAUGAACUGAGGGUAGCGGAGAAAUUCCAAUCGAACUUGGAGAUAGCUGGUUCUCUCCGAAAUAGCUUUAGGGCUAGCCUCAAGUGAUGAUUAUUGGAGGUAGAGCACUGUUUGGACGAGGGGCCCCUCUCGGGUUACCGAAUUCAGACAAACUCCGAAUGCCAAUUAAUUUAACUUGGGAGUCAGAACAUGGGUGAUAAGGUCCGUGUUCGAAAGGGAAACAGCCCAGACCACCAGCUAAGGUCCCAAAAUAUAUGUUAAGUGGAAAAGGAUGUGGCGUUGCCCAGACAACUAGGAUGUUGGCUUAGAAGCAGCCAUCAUUUAAAGAGUGCGUAAUAGCUCACUAGUCGAGUGACACUGCGCCGAAAAUGUACCGGGGCUAAACAUAUUACCGAAGCUGUGGAUUGUCCUUUGGACAAUGGUAGGAGAGCGUUCUAAGGGCGUCGAAGCAUGAUCGCAAGGACAUGUGGAGCGCUUAGAAGUGAGAAUGCCGGUAUGAGUAGCGAAAGACAGGUGAGAAUCCUGUCCACCGUAAGACUAAGGUUUCCAGGGGAAGGCUCGUCCGCCCUGGGUUAGUCGGGACCUAAGGAGAGACCGAAAGGUGUAUCCGAUGGACAACAGGUUGAUAUUCCUGUACUAGAGUAUGUAGUGAUGGAGGGACGCAGUAGGCUAAGGAAUGCAUGCGAUUGGAAGUGCAUGUCCAAGCAAUGAGUCUUGAGUAGAGUUAAAUGCUUUACUCUUUAAGGACAAGUUGUGACGGGGAGCGAAAUAAUAGUAGCGAAGUUCCUGAUGUCACACUGCCAAGAAAAGCUUCUAGUGAGAAAACAACUGCCCGUACCGUAAACCGACACAGGUAGUCGAGGAGAGUAUCCUAAGGUGAGCGAGCGAACUCUCGUUAAGGAACUCGGCAAAAUGACCCCGUAACUUCGGGAGAAGGGGUGCUGACUUCGGUCAGCCGCAGUGAAUAGGCCCAAGCGACUGUUUAUCAAAAACACAGGUCUCUGCAAAAUCGUAAGAUGAAGUAUAGGGGCUGACGCCUGCCCGGUGCUGGAAGGUUAAGAGGAUGGGUUAGCUUCGGCGAAGCUCAGAAUUGAAGCCCCAGUAAACGGCGGCCGUAACUAUAACGGUCCUAAGGUAGCGAAAUUCCUUGUCGGGUAAGUUCCGACCCGCACGAAAGGCGUAACGAUUUGGGCACUGUCUCAACGAGAGACUCGGUGAAAUUUUAGUACCUGUGAAGAUGCAGGUUACCCGCGACAGGACGGAAAGACCCCAUGGAGCUUUACUGCAGUUUGAUAUUGAGUGUCUGUACCACAUGUACAGGAUAGGUAGGAGUCUAAGAGAUCGGGACGCCAGUUUCGAAGGAGACGUUGUUGGGAUACUACCCUUGUGUUAUGGCCACUCUAACCCGGAUAGGUUAUCCCUAUCGGAGACAGUGUCUGACGGGCAGUUUGACUGGGGCGGUCGCCUCCUAAAAGGUAACGGAGGCGCCCAAAGGUUCCCUCAGAAUGGUUGGAAAUCAUUCAUAGAGUGUAAAGGCAUAAGGGAGCUUGACUGCGAGACCUACAAGUCGAGCAGGGACGAAAGUCGGGCUUAGUGAUCCGGUGGUUCCGCAUGGAAGGGCCAUCGCUCAACGGAUAAAAGCUACCCUGGGGAUAACAGGCUUAUCUCCCCCAAGAGUUCACAUCGACGGGGAGGUUUGGCACCUCGAUGUCGGCUCGUCGCAUCCUGGGGCUG